rnacentral:rRNA from 1 species
UGCGGAGGGAUCAUUACACAAAUAUGAAGGCGGGCUGGAACCUCUCGGGGUUACAGCCUUGCUGAAUUAUUCACCCUUGUCUUUUGCGUACUUCUUGUUUCCUUGGUGGGUUCGCCCACCACUAGGACAAACAUAAACCUUUUGUAAUUGCAAUCAGCGUCAGUAACAAAUUAAUAAUUACAACUUUCAACAACGGAUCUCUUGGUUCUGGCAUCGAUGAAGAACGCAGCGAAAUGCGAUAAGUAGUGUGAAUUGCAGAAUUCAGUGAAUCAUCGAAUCUUUGAACGCACAUUGCGCCCUUUGGUAUUCCAAAGGGCAUGCCUGUUCGAGCGUCAUUUGUACCCUCAAGCUUUGCUUGGUGUUGGGCGUCUUGUCUCUAGCUUUGCUGGAGACUCGCCUUAAAGUAAUUGGCAGCCGGCCUACUGGUUUCGGAGCGCAGCACAAGUCGCACUCUCUAUCAGCAAAGGUCUAGCAUCCAUUAAGCCUUUUUUUCAACUUUGACCUC